rnacentral:misc_RNA from 1 species
GGCUGGCCUUAAAAGCAUUAGCUGACUCUUGUGAGUGUGUUGGUUCUACUCAGUGUGAUAAUCACUUCUGAACCACUGAGGACAUCUUCCGAGAUGGCCAAUUCUUGCUUGGGUUGCUUCGAAUCUGGUUGAUGGAUUGCUGAAUCUGUCCCACUUCUAAUUUUGACCUCGAAUCAGGUGGGACUACCCGCUGAACUUAA